UGAAUCGGUAAUUGAGUUAGAAAUUGAGAAAUUAAAGUGGGUUCGGUGAACACAUUAUGAUGAGGAAGAAUUAGUGAUUGAUGUGUGAGUUUUAAUGAAGAUUAGAGAAGCUAAGUUUUAGAUAUUGUGGUGGAUGAUUUUGCGAGUUGCAGGAAUCACAUUAUGGAUCUCUCCGAAUUUUGUGGCUGAAGAGGAUGUGGAAACAGUUGAAACUGCUGGAACACAAAC